rnacentral:rRNA from 1 species
UACGUAGGGCGCAAGCGUUUGUCCGGAAUUAUUGGGCGUAAAGAGCUCGUAGGCGGCCUGUUGCGUCCGCUGUGAAAUCCCGGGGCUUAACCCCGGGUCGGCAGUGGAUACGGGCAGGCUAGAGGUAGGUAGGGGAGAAUGGAAUUCCCGGUGUAGCGGUGAAAUGCGCAGAUAUCGGGAGGAACACCGGUGGCGAAGGCGGUUCUCUGGGCCUUACCUGACGCUGAGGAGCGAAAGCGUGGGGAGCGAACAGG